AGAAUCAACGCUGGCGGCGUGCCUAACACAUGCAAGUCGCACGAGAAAGGGGAGCAAUCCCUGAGUACAGUGGCGCACGGGUGAGUAACGCGUGAAUAAUCUACCUCCGAGUGGGGAAUAACUGAGAGAAAUCUUAGCUAAUACCGCAUAACACUUACGAGUCAAAGCAGCAAUGCGCUUGGAGAGGAGUUCGCGGCCGAUUAGUUAGUUGGCGGGGUAAUGGCCCACCAAGACGAUGAUCGGUA
rnacentral:rRNA from 1 species